GAUAAACACGCAUCCGGUGCGGCAAGGAGAGAAAAAAAGAUGUCGGUGCCCUCACGAAUGUCAUGUUGUUGACUGUUUCCAGAUAAUUGUGUUUGUGUUUAAACGCUAUUACAUGCACGCUAAGCUUAUAUUGAGUUAUAUUACAGGCGUAUCUACAUGAAAUUAGCUUAUUUGUAAAGAGUACCUGUCCGUCAUGGUCCAUUUAUCUUCUUUCCUGCUCAAAAAAUAUCAUGGGGGACAUGUGGUCAUCAGGCUGGCACUAGGAGGUGCCACUAACAGACCCUUUUACCGCAUUGUGGCUGCUUAUAAUAAACGGGCAAGAGACAGCAAAUAUAUUGAGCAGCUGGGCUCAUAUGACCCUCUCCCAAACAUACAAAAUGAAAAACUUGUCGCCUUCAAUUACGAAAGAAUCAAGUACUGGAUUGCAUGUGGGGCUCAUACCACAAAACCAGUGGCCAAACUUCUAGGAUUGGCUGGAUUUUUCCCACUGCAUCCAAUGACGAUAACAGAAGCGGAGCGGAGACAGAAAGCAGCUUCGACCGAAGAAUUUAAAACAGACAGUCAAGAAAAAGUGGAGGAGGCAGCACUGUAAAUCCAAAAUAAAGUUCUACGCAUCUCAUUAGUGAUAAUGCGACAUUGUACUUUUGUAUUACACUGUGAUAUGUUUUUGGUUAUAUUAUAAGCACUGUACUGAUGUAUCUUAACGCUACACACCAAUGUGCUUGUAUUAAAUAAUUCUAAUAUUUAUCAGAGGGCUCAAACUCUUUCUGAGGUUAGCUGUGAAAUAUGCAGGUAAUAAAUAUGAGCCAUGCAAAUGCUUUAUAGAUGUUCAGAAGU